rnacentral:rRNA from 1 species
UACGGAGGGGGCUAGCGUUGUUCGGAAUUACUGGGCGUAAAGCGCACGUAGGCGGCUUUGCAAGUCAGAGGUGAAAGCCCGGGGCUCAACCCCGGAAUUGCCUUUGAGACUGCAUCGCUAGAAUUGUGGAGAGGUAAGUGGAAUUCCGAGUGUAGAGGUGAAAUUCGUAGAUAUUCGGAAGAACACCAGUGGCGAAGGCACCAUCCUGGGGAGUCACUGACGCUCGGGUGCGAAAGCUAGGGGAGCGAACGGG